GCCACAGUGCCACUGUUGCAGAAAGGAGGCGCAUUGAGCAGACAUUCCUAAGCGGAGUUCCACCGAACAGCCUCAUCCAAAGGCCAUCAUACCCGGAACUGCCGCGCUCCGCCGGGAGCGUCCCGCAUCGAGGGAGAGCCGUCGGUCGUCGGCGAUCUCUAAUCGCUCCGACUGUGAGUUGUCGAUCGGCCCGAUUGGUCGCCGCCCAAGUUGUCCAACUUUAUGUGUGGUGAAUCACCAACGAGCGGCCCCGGCGCGUCCUCUGGCUCUCCGCGAGCUGUUCCGGACGGAGCGGGAUGCGCGUGCUGCCGCUGCUGCUGCUGACGCUGGAGACCAGGCUGAGCACCUCCGUGAUGAACGGUGACGGUCUUUACGGAAAGGUAAAGAGAGACCAGGUCAGUCACGUGUCUGCCGUCGAGGGCCAAUCAGCGGAGCUGCCGUGUGACGUCACCGACAGUUCGGGGAGCGCGGCCGGUCUGCGGCUGGUCCUCUGGUAUUUCGCCGCCAGCACCAUCUACACG